UCAUUGCAUCUAUCCUUACUUCCGAGCUGCUUAUAUCUCUUCCUCUGACAUUAGAGGAGGCCCUUUCCCUGUGAAAGGGCUAGUGGAUGUAUACUUGAGACAGCCUCAUAUUGCUUCAACAGUCUUCAUAUUAACAUGGACUGGAAUCAAUAUUUUGGCUUUGGUAUUAUGAAGACAAAUGGAUUUUGAAGGCUGAACCUUGAGAUUAAAGAAGGAUACAACAUAGAUGGAGGACUUCUUAAGAGAGGAAAAGAACUCCCACCUUGAUCCCCGCACUCCGACAUUUGGUGACUGCAUCAGGUCAAGUAAUAUGCAGAGAUCUAGACUCGGUCCAGCUCAGAGAGGCACCCUGAAUUUGAAUCCAAAGAACAAUCUAUUCAGGAUGUCCCAUUGUGUCCCAUGACAGUGAGGGACUGUCCCUUUGAAGAUGGAGGAGAUUUGAAGUGUAUGGGUGAGUGCUACCCAGCACAGCAGAAUGCCACGUGUUCACAGGGUCAAGGGACAGGCCACCAGGCAUUAUGGACUCACAGUGACAGUGGCCAGGAGACCCUCAGGCACAUUGGCCACAAUGAUGCCAAUGAGGAAGAUGAUGGCGUCCAGAACCUGAUACUUCAGGGACACUGCGAUGAUGAAGAAAAGGAUGCCGAUGGAGACAGCCACUCCUGCCACAAUAUGGACAAAGUGCUCGAUCUCAAUGGCAAUGGGUGUCUUCUCAUUUCCAACUCCUGAAGCCAGUGAGGCGAUCUGACCAAUGAUGGUGCGGUCGCCUGUGUUGAUGACCAUGCCAGUUGCUGUGCCUACAGGUGAAGUAGACAUUUUAUUCUGGGGAUCCUCAGCUACGAGGAUCUGCUUC